AUGUGUUCUGAGUUACUCAUCUGUGACGUUUCAACACUUCCGUACAUGAAGGGAUCAUCUGAUGAAGAGUUAUGUAUUGGGUAUGAUGGUGAGUAUGGCUAUGGUUUUGACGAAUCUUCCGAUGAGUUGAAGAUACUGGAUGACAAAAUUUUGCUGUUCCAUAAUCUGAAAAACCUCAAAUCGAUGGUGAUACAUGGUUGCCGGAAUCUAAGUUCCAUUUCAUUAAAAGGUUUUAGUUACCUCGUCUCUUUAACGAGCUUGAAAAUAAGAAAUUGUGAAAAACUUUUUGCUUCAAAUGAGAUGCCAGAGCAUACCCUCGAAGAUGUGACACUUGUGAAUUGCAAGGCUUUCCCAUCUCUCGAAUGUCUCAGUAUUGAUUCAUGUGGUAUAGUGGGGAAGUGGCUAUCUUUGAUGCUGCAACAUGCGCCAUGCCUAGAGGAAUUGUAUUUGUCUUCCCAAGAGGAAGAAAAAUCAGAAGAGGAAGAAAACAGUAUAUCAAAUCUUAGCUCAACCAGGGAGGGCACAUCAUCCGGAAAUCCAGAUGACGGAUUAGCUCUAGACCGACUGUUGUGCAUCCCAUUAAAUCUCAUCUCCAUUCUAAAGAGGAUAACUAUUGAGAGGUGCCCUCAUCUAACAUUUAACUGGGGCAAGGAAGGCGUCUCGGGAUUUACCUCCCUUGAGAAGCUAGUCAUUUUAGACCGCCCUGACCUGCUCUCGUCGUUGGUGCAUACAGACGGAGGAUGGCUACUCCCGAACUCACUUGGCCAACUUGAAAUCGAUGGCCAUUCCCAAGUAACGCUGCAACCCUGCUUUCCUAGCGAUAUCACUAGCCUUAAAAAGUUAGAGGUACAUCGCAGCCCAGGUUUGCAAUCUCUACAGCUGCACUCAUGCACAGCACUGGAAGAAUUGGUAAUUAGAUACUGUGGAUCGCUCACUGCACUGCAUGGUCUGCAAUUCCUUGGCAGCCUCAGGCAUUUGACAGUAUUCAAGUGCCCUGGCUUGCCACCAUUUCUGGAGAGCUUUUCAAGGCAGGGCUAUACGCUGUUACCUCGGCUGGAAAGGCUUUGCAUCGAUGACCCAUCUGUCCUUACCACGUCAUUCUGCAGGCACCUCACCUCCCUGCAACACCUAUAUCUUUUUUUCUUGAAAGUGACGAGACUAACAGAUGAGCAAGAGCAAGCGUGUGUGCUCCUCAAGUCCCUGCAAAAGCUCCAAUUUCAGUAUUGUUCCGAUCUCGUAGAUCUUCCUGCAGGGCUGCACAACCUUCCAUCCCUGAAGAGUUUGAAGGUAGAUGGGUCUAGGGGCAUCUCAAGGCUGCCGGAAACAGGCCUCCCACUCUCACUGAAAGAACUGGAAAUCUGUUGUUGCAGCAGGGAGCUAGCUGAUCAAUGCAGAAUGCUACCACGGGGCAAGCUAAAUGUUAAAAUUGAUUUGUGUUUUUGA
rnacentral:rRNA from 1 species